rnacentral:sRNA from 1 species
UGUGGUGUUUAUGAAUCUCUCCGUUUGGAUGAAAACCGAGUAAAAUACUAAAGAUUUUAGAGAUAAGAUGUUAGCUGUUAGAGAAGCUUUUUGGACACGAGACGACCACUUGAUAUUCCCUCGGCACUUCCUUUUAAGGACUAAAAGGAAAAAAUGCGAGCCAACAAUCAAUCUCGCAUUAGAGUAGACUCUGGAGAAUUCUGAAUUCGUCGUAAGUUUCUUUCUUCACAUAAUUUUUUCUAGUUUUAUCUAUUGUUCCAUGUGUUCAGUUAGACAAUUAGGGUCCUGAUUACUCUGCUUAUAUAUAGUUUACUGCUAACAGCAUUGUUUUGCUUUCAAGAAAGAGGGUUUUUUAUGCAGAGAAACAUAACUUCAAGAAGAGAUUUAUCUGCCAAUGAGAAAAUGAAAGGUCAGGUAAACAAAUAAACUCCUAAUACAUACUACUUUCAAAAUACACUCAAACGCAACAACCUCAAAUACAACAUAACAAACGAGCAGGAAAAAAACACACACCACAAAGUAAAUAAAUCACAACGUCGUGUGAGUUUCUAUAUUAUACAUGUAAAACGUUGUGUAAACCAAUAUACAUUCUUUAAAAACUUUUAUCCUUUUAUAUUAUGUAUAUAAAAACCAAUAUACAUUGUAUUAUAUAUUAUAUAUUUAUACACAAAUCGCC